CUUUCAGUUUCAGUUUCCCAGAAAGGAGGUGGGCUUUUUUUUUUCACCCUGCUUUAAAAGCCCUUGGGCCCUUCCCAACUGGGUGCCAGCCAACUGUGGCUGCCUGGGACACUCCAUCUUAAGUCCCUGUGCCUCUGCUGUGUGUUACUGAGUGCCUAGGCCGUGCCAGCCUGUAUUCAUCUGUACUAUGACCUGAAGAGGCAGAGGCCAUCAUUGUUGGUCUGGUCUCCACCUGGGGAAACUGAGGUUGCACAGAAACAAGCUCCUACUUCCAGAAAAAGUGCUCCUGGGACUCCAGGAUACCAAGCAUCUGGACGCGGUGGUACAUGCCACCACUUAGGCAGGAGGAUCACUCGAGCCCAGAAGAUCAAGACUAGUGUGAGCAACAAAAUCCUUCCCUGGCACCGGUUCCAAGAGGACCUGGUUCUUAGGCAGCAUCUGUGUCUCUG
rnacentral:lncRNA from 1 species